rnacentral:rRNA from 1 species
GGUUGCGAUCAUACCAGCACUAAUGCACCGGAUCCCAUCAGAACUCCGCAGUUAAGCGUGCUUGGGCGAGAGUAGUACUAGGAUGGGUGACCCCCUGGGAAGUCCUCGUGUUGCAACCCU